ensembl:lncRNA novel transcript, antisense to RALGPS1
CGGGGAAGGGCUCUGGGCCCCACCUGAGGAACAGAGCAGAUGUUGCUUGCAAGUGGCUUCCUGUUUCAUGGAGCAUUUCCGCCUGUAAAAUGGCAUCUGAAAAGACCGAGCUGAGCACAGAGCCCUAGGACCUGUCACUGUCACUAGAGACCUCCCUUCAGCUUCCAGAACCACUUGGAGGGACCAGGAAGUCUGUGACUGUGCCACGUGGCACCAUGAAGUCCCCAUCCUCCUGGACCCAAAUGCCUGUUCACAGACCUCUUGAAUUCCAUCCAUGGACCCUGGCCACCCCUUGUGUCACAUUUCCUUAAGAAACCACUGCUAAUCCGGUCCAGACUGUUGAGGGAGGAAGAAACUCAAAUGGUAUCCAAACUCAGGACACACUGCCACAUGUGUGCAACAAAUGUGGCUUCAGUCACUCAGACACGGAGCAGAGAACUUGGUAAUUUAUCUCUUCCCCAUUCCAGGCUCCUGGAGGCUCCCUUUGUUUCUCUGCUUCUCAGCUAAGAACAUUAGAGCCUGACACUCAAGGCAUGGUCUCCCCACCAGCACUGCCAUCUGCAUCGCCCGGGAGCUUGCUGGAAAUGCAGAAUCUUGGUCUCUACCCCCAGAUCUGUUGAAUCCAAAUCUGAAUUUUAAUCAA